rnacentral:lncRNA from 1 species
GAGAUUCUUAGAGAGGCACAGAGUCCUUCUCUACCACGUGGCUUAGAAGCCCAAUUUCAAAAUGGCGACAGCGGAGAUUCUACCCACGAGUCGCAGUCUGAGGGAGAAGAAUCAGACACUGAAAUUCAGGACUUACAGAGAAAUUUUAACAGGCUGCAUUUAACACCACCUGCCCAGGCUAUUAGAAUUCGGCCAUUACCUGCUAAAAGGACAAAAUUUAACAGGUACUCUAAAUUAACAAUGACUCUUCUUACCCCGUUCCAGCGAGGUAUUAAGAAGGCACAAGAAGCGGGGGAAGAUAUUAGCGGUUUUCAACUUUUCCCAGUUUUUGAACAGAUUAAUGAGCAAGAUCAGAGAGUUAGAGUUCAUGCUGUAAUUCCAUUUAAAACCAUUAAGGAAUUGAAAAGUGCAUGCGAGAUGUAUGGUCCGAGUACGCCUUUUGUACAGAACCUAAUCGAUAAUAUCUCCCCGCAGCCUCUCCCACCUAGUGAUUGGAUUUCAUUAGCCAGAUCUUGUUUGAGUGGAGGGGAUUUCUUACUUUGGCAUUCUUAUUGGACUGAUUUUUGUACUGAACAGGCAGAAAAAAAUAGAAAACAGAAUUUACAGACCCCAGUAGAAAUGUUUUUAGGAAUGGGUGAAUUUGCUGAUUUGGAAAGACAGUUAAAUUAUUAAUUUGUAAUAUAUGAUCAAAUAACUAAUUGUGCUAAACGUGCCUGGAAGCAAAUAGUCUCCAAAGACCAGUCCAAUUUAGUUCUUACCAGAGUCAGGCAGGGUGCGAGUGAGCUGUACUCAGAUUUCGUAGCCCGAUUGUAUCAGACAGCAAAUAGGUCUAUCUGGGACCCUGGGGCGUGCGAGUUUAUUGUUAAGCAGUUGGCAUUUGAAAAUGCAAAUAAAUAUUGUCAGGACAUUCUUAGUCCGCACCGUAAAAAAGGAACAGUUUCUGAGUUUAUCCACUUGUGUUCUGAGAUAGACUCUACCCAUUUGCAGACAGUAACUCUAGCCACGGCACUAAAAGAAACUCUAAAGCCGCAGGAAUUAGUACGGGAGAUGCUAUCUUUGCAGGAGAAAUAACCAUUAUGUGCGCGAAUGUCGCAUGCGUAAUUUUAAGUUCAGGGCUCCAUCUACUGGUGAUAAUAGAUAUUGCAGGACUCAACCCCACGUGGCGGAUCAAGAUGGUGGGGAAUUCCAGGAGAGGUCGCACAGUGUGACAUCACUGGCGCCCACCAGGACGGCCCACAAUUUUUAACGGUACGUAGAUCACAGACAGUUUCCUUAGGACCCUCAACGACAAUUGAAUUGAAUCCUGAAUCAGGGCCAAAACAAAUCCCUACUGGGAUUUUCGGGCUGCUUCCUGAUAAUACUAUAGGUUUAAUUUUGGGACAUUAUAAUUUAAAAGGAGCCAUUGAGGUAAUACCUGGUGUGAUAGAUUCAAAUUUUAAAGGACAAUUAAAUGUUACUGUAAGGUCCAAUUAUGCCCUAAGGCUCACUCCAAAGGAUACAUUUGCCCAAUUGAUUUUAUUGCCCUGUGAUUCGGAUAGACACCCGCGAGUAAAUUCAGUUUCUAAACCGCCGGACAGAGUGUACUGGUUGCAAUUGGUGCGACAAGAAUGCCCUUUAUUAGAACUUAAAAUUAAUCAUAAAAGGUUCCAGGGCAUUCUCGACACAGGGGCUGACAUUUUGGUCUUUUCUAGUAAAUUCUGGCCUAGGAAUUGGCCCUUACUUGUAGCACCAGCUAACCCAGAGGGAAUUGGACAAAUUUCACAGCCUGCUCAAAGUGCAAAUUAUCUCCAUUGGGAAGAUUCUGAUGGGAACAGUGGAGUUUUUAAACCUUAUAUGUUAGAGUCUUUACCAGCAAACCUAUGGGGAAGGGAUAUUUUAGCCAAAAUGGGAUUGUUAUUAGUUACUCCAAAUUCUAUAAGGUCAGUUGAGGAAGUUAAUCAGAGAUAUUUUCCUGGAGAUGAUAAGGAGACCCUUCAGGGAGAGUAUCUGUUUACAAACCAGUCUCCACGACAAAGAUUAGUAAAUGCUCCAAGCCAAAAUUUUUACUAGGGGCCCUGAGUAUUUCCCCGAUCCCUAAGACAGCUGAAAAAAUCACCUGGCUCACAGAGGAGCCUCUAUGGAUUUCUCAGUGGCCCAUCUCAGGGGAAAAACUUAAAAUAAUUCAUAGGUUAGUUGAGGAACAACUUCAGGCUGGUCAUAUAGAACCAACACUCAGUCCUUGGAACACACCUAUUUUUGUUAUUAAGAAAAAGUCCGGAAAUUGGAGAUUGCUACAGGAAUUAAGGGCGAUAAAUCAUGCAAUUCAGCCUAUGGGAUCAUUUCAGCCAGGACUUCCUUCCCCCACAGCCAUCCCUUUAAACUAUAGCUUGAUGGUAAUAGAUUUAAAAGAUUGUUUUUUCUCUAUAAGGUUACAUCCUGGAGAUUGUGAGAGAUUUGCCUUCACUGUCCCAGCAAUUAAUUUUAAGGAACCUGUUAAAAGAUAUUGCUGGAAAGUACUCCCCCAGGGAAUGCAUAAUAUUCCUACCUUAUGCCAAAAAUAUGUUGAUCAGGUGAUAGAUCCCAUAAGAAAUAGCUUUCCGGAUGUGUAUAUUAUUCAUUUUAUGGAUGAUAUAUUAUUGGCUCAUGCUAAUCCAGAGGUACUUUCAGAAAUUUUUACUCAGAGGCUUCACUUACAGCAAUGGGUUUAUGCAUUACUCCUCAAAAAAUUCAAAAGAUGCCUCCUUUUCAAUAUCUAGGUCAGAUAAUUCAAGGACAUAAAUCCGUCCUCAAAAUCUUCAGAUAAGAGUUAAGGAGUUACAUACCCUUAAUGAUUUUCAAAAGCUAUUAGGAGCUAUUAAUUGGCUGAGACCAUCCUUAAAACUAACUACUUCUGAGUUAAGUCCUUUAUUUCAGAUUUUACAAGGAAAUCCUUCUCUAACCUCUCCACGUCAGCUAACCUUAGAGGCUAGAACAGCUUUAAAAAAGGUUGAAAAUGCAAUUAAAAAUUCACAGCUUACUAGAGUUGAUCCUAAAGAAAUAGUGUAUUUAUUAAUAUUUCCAACUGAGCAUACCCCAACAGGAGCCAUAUGGCAAAGAUUAGGAGUUAUUGAGUGGAUUUAUUUAUCCCACUCCCCUCAAAAAACAUUAAUUCCUUUCCAUGACUCUAUAGCUCAAUUAGUAAUUAAAGGCAGAACUAGGAUUUUACAAUUAAUUGGAUCUGAGCCUGAUAUCAUAAUUAUUCCAUUUUCUGUUCAACAGACUAAUUGGCUUUUUCAAACUUCUAGCUUAUGGCAGAUAGCUUUUGCUGAUUUUCCUGGCUAGAUAGAUAGCCAUUACCCUCGUGAUAAGAUUAUCCAAUUUGCAUCAUUAAUGUCACUUAUUUUUCCAAAGAUUGUGCGUGCACAUCCUAUGGAUGAAGCUUUAUCGGUGUUCACUGAUGGUUCAAGCUCAGGUAAAGCAGGUUUUUAUAGUCGUGUUCACACAGAGGUAAUGCAAACUUCAUAUACUUCUGCCCAAAGAGCAGAGCUUCAAGCUCUGAUUUGUGCCUUAAAUUGUUUUUCAAAUGAGCCUAUUAAUAUUUAUUCCAACAGCUUAUAUGCAGUCGGAGUUACCAAAAAUAUUGAAACUUCAGUUAUUGGGUAUACUUCAUCACAAGAGUUAUUUGAAUUAUUUCAUAAUUUACAGAAGGCAGUGCUAAUGCGAAAAUACCCAUGUUUCAUAGGACACAUACGAGCUCAUACUAAUCUUCCUGGACCUUUAGUUUCAGGUAAUGACAAAAUUGAUAAAUUAGUAGCUUUUUGUCAACAGAUGUCUUCAUAUGACUGUGUACAAGCUUCCCAUUCCUUGCAUCAUCAAAAUGCUUCUAGCUUACAUAAAAAAUUUAAUAUUACCAGAGAACAAGCUCAUCAAAUUGUAAGCCAAUGCCCUAAGUGUGUUAUUCACACUCCAUCUCCACCAUCAGGGGUAAAUCCCCGUGGAUUAAAACCAAAUCAAAUAUGGCAAAUGGAUAUAACUCAUAUUCCUCAAUUUGGUAAGCAAUGUUAUGUACAUGUCAUAGUGGACACAUAUUCCAGAUUUAUUUUUGCCACAGCACGUACUAAGGAAAAUACUCAACAUGUAAUUUCUCAUUGCCUAGCAGCUUUUUCUGUGUUAGGGUGCCCUAUGCAGAUUAAAACAGAUAAUGCUCCAGUUUAUGUAAGCUCUUCUUUUCAACAAUUUUGCCAAGAGUUUCAAAUUAAUCAUAAAACAGGAAUUCCUUAUAACCCCUAAGGUCAAGCCAUUGUGGAACAAGCUCAUUUAUCUAUUAAGCUUCAAUUACAAAAAUUAAAAGGGGGGGGAAUAGGGUUAUGACUCCCCAAAAUAGCCUCAAUCAUGGUUUGUUCAUUUUAAAUUUUUUAAACUGACGCAGAAGGUCACACUGCAGCUGAGAGGCAAAUGUCUCCCUCAGUAACAGGCCCUUUAGGCAGAGUUUUGUGGAAAGAUUUACAGACUGGUCAAUGGAAAGGCCCAGACCCAGUGAUUAUGUGGGGCAGAGGUCAUGCUUGUAUUUUUCCAGAAGGUGCUUUUCAUCCUAUCUGGGUGCCUGAACGUGCAAUUAGACAUGGAAGAGAUAGAACCGAGAUUCAAGCGACUGAAGAUCGACCCAGAGGAGCCCCCAUCCAAAAGGAAGAGAUAUCGGAAAAAGAUGAAGAAAAACCAAAUUGACCCAGCUGAAAAGCUGAUUUCAUGGGGAGAGGUGAAGAAGCUAACAACACAGGCUUCCCGAAUACUUCGACUCCUAGGAAAGAACAGGACUCCAGUCUUGAUGGUAGCGACAGUAAUUGCCCUGCUGGGCUGUCAGGAUGGCGAGUCUUCAGAACAAGAAUGCAGAAACUCAAAAGAGUGAACCACCGCCUCAUUUUUAAGAGAAAAAAGGGGGAAUAUGUGGGAAGCCAUUCUCGCACGUGAUUGGGCACCUCCCGGAUUGGGUGUGAGGCGCUCUGGCUAAACUGUGUUGGAGCUUUCCCCACCCUCUCCUGGUGCGGGAGCCUGUCCGUGUGGGGGUGUGACUGACCACUGACCCUGAGGCCAAUCACUGACCUUGACCUUGGAAUGCUGCUCCCCUCGACCUUCAUUGGAUGGAAUUUUCCCCUGAAUUUCUUGUUCCCCAAUAAAAGGCCACUCCCUGGCGUGCUCUCUCUCUCUCUCCUGCUAGCCCUGAGUAAGCCUUGCUGCCCUACCGGGUGGUUCGAGGUGUGAGCCAGAGAGGUGAGAGCCGUCUUGGACCUGGUCAUAGAAAAAGGUAAUUGAGUCUUUGCGUUUAUUUUGAUCUCGCUAGUUAACUUUUAUGCCAUGAACCUCUUUAAUGAAACUAGUGCGCUGGUCGCAUGGUGGAAAUUUGCCAUACUAGAACUUGCUGUGUAUCUUUCUACCCUUUUAAUUUAUUGGGUAAAUAACAAAUAAAUAUGUUUUAUUCAUGCCUAGCCCUAGCCAUGGGAUAGGAGAAUGUCCCAUUGUGUGAAGGAGAAUUGUCUUUAGCUACAAGAUAAUCAUGAGCAUGGAGGUACUUUGUUCUAGUCAUGUUCAUUUUACUUUCUCUACUUCUGCCAUCUACUCUGUUCUAUCCCAUUUUUUCAAUAUAUCUUCUCCAUCCCUCAGUGUCCUUCUCCAUCUUUUUCAUAUUAAAAACAUUUGUUUGAAUCUCACCAGUACUAUAUGGGUUUGUCAAUUCAGGAAUUGGUAAUGUUCAGGGACCUGAGACUGUAGACUUCUCUCAGGAAAAGUACAAAUGCCUUGCCCCUGGUUAGAGGGAUUUAUGUAGAUAUGCAGUGAUAGAUAACUCCACCAACCUAGUCUUACUUGAUAAGGAUAUCAAUUUCCAAAUAACUUAUGGAUUUUGGGUGUGUCUUUCAAUUGUCUGGGUGGGUGUAUGCCUUCCUAGGGAAUUGUUUUAUGCUUUGGAGAUAAGGAAACAGGCAGGCUGCUCAUUGAGAUCCCUUUAUCGUCUCCAUACUUCAGACCUUCAUACUUUCUUCUUGUCUUUUCUGUAGUUGCUGUUUCCUUGAGCACUAAGGACUAGGUUUGAAUUCAGAAACAAGCAGGAAUAUAUCUUUUUUCUUGUAAACAGGACUCUGUACUCCUAAGCCUGAUGUGAUUUCCCUGUUGGAGCAAGGGAAAGAAUCAUGAUGGUCUCAAGGGACAUUAUGGGAGGAUGGUGCCCAGGUAAGUAAGGAUUCUGAACAGGUAGGCAGGCAG